GACGAACGCUGGCGGCGUGCUUAACACAUGCAAGUCGAACGAUGAAGAAAAGAAUUGAAGCUUCGGCAGAAAUUCAUUUCGGAUUAGUGGCAGACGGGUGAGUAACGCGUGAGCAACCUACCUCUUACAAAGGGAUAGCCUCGGGAAACCGGGAUUAAUACCUUAUAACAUUGCGACGAAGCAUUUCGAUGCAAUCAAAGCUACGGCGGUAAGAGAUGGGCUCGCGUCCCAUUAACCAGAUGGUGAGGUAACGGCUCACCAUAGUAACGAUGGGUAACCGGCCUGAGAGGGUGAACGGUCACACUGGAACUGAGACACGGUCCAGACUCCUACGGGAGGCAGCAGUGGGGAAUAUUGCACAAUGGAGGGAACUCUGAUGCAGCGACGCCGCGUGAGUGAUGAAGGAAUUCGUUUCGUAAAACUCUGUUCUAUGGGAAGAAAAGGACUGUACCAUAGGAGAAAGCUCCGGCUAAAUACGUG
rnacentral:rRNA from 1 species